rnacentral:rRNA from 1 species
AGAGUUUGAUCCUGGCUCAGAGCGAACGCUGGCGGCAGGCUUAACACAUGCAAGUCGAGCGGACGUAGCAAUACGUCAGCGGCAGACGGGUGAGUAACGCGUGGGAACGUACCUUUUGGUUCGGAACAACACAGGGAAACUUGUGCUAAUACCGGAUAAGCCCUUACGGGGAAAGAUUUAUCGCCGAAAGAUCGGCCCGCGUCUGAUUAGCUAGUUGGUGAGGUAACGGCUCACCAAGGCGACGAUCAGUAGCUGGUCUGAGAGGAUGAUCAGCCACAUUGGGACUGAGACACGGCCCAAACUCCUACGGGAGGCAGCAGUGGGGAAUAUUGGACAAUGGGCGCAAGCCUGAUCCAGCCAUGCCGCGUGAGUGAUGAAGGCCCUAGGGUUGUAAAGCUCUUUUGUGCG